GAUGAACGCUGGCGGCGUGCCUAAUACAUGCAGGUCGAGCGAACGGACGAGAAGCUUGCUUUUCUGAUGUUAGCGGCGGACGGGUGAGUAACACGUGGAUAACCUACCUAUAAGACUGGGAUAACUUCGGGAAACCGGAGCUAAUACCGGAUAAUAUUUUGAACCGCAUGGUUCAGAAGUGAAAGACGGUCUUGCUGUCACUUAUAGAUGGAUCCGCGCUGCAUUAGCUAGUUGGUAAGGUAACGGCUUACCAAGGCAACGAUGCAUAGCCGACCUGAGAGGGUGAUCGGCCACACUGGAACUGAGACACGGUCCAGACUCCUACGGGAGGCAGCAGUAGGGAAUCUUCCGCAAUGGGCGAAAGCCUGACGGAGCAACGCCGCGUGAGUGAUGAAGGUCUUCGGAUCGUAAAACUCUGUUAUUAGGGAAGAACAUAUGUGUAAGUAACUGUGCACAUCUUGACGGUACCUAAUCAGAAAGCCACGGCUAACUACGUG
rnacentral:rRNA from 1 species